GACAGAGGGUGCAAACGUUGUUCGGAAUUACUGGGCGUAAAGCGCGUGUAGGCGGCUUCGCAAGUCGGAUGUGAAAUCCCACGGCUCAACCGUGGAAGUGCAUUCGAAACUGCAAGGCUAGAGUUCUGGAGAGGAAGGUGGAAUGCUUGGUGUAGAGGUGAAAUUCGUAGAUAUCAAGCGGAACACCGGUGGCGAAGGCGGGUCUCUGGGCCAUAACUGACGCUGAGGAGCGAAAGCGU
rnacentral:rRNA from 1 species